rnacentral:ncRNA from 1 species
GGCUUAUGGUGGAUACCUAGGCACUUAGAGACAAGGAAGGGCGUAGCAAGCGACGAAAUGCUUCGGGGAGGUGAAAAUAAGCAUAGAUCCAGAGACUCCAUAAUGGGUCAACCUUUCGAACUAUUGCUGAAUCCAUGGGCAAGCAAGAGACAACCUGGCGAACUGAAACAUCUUAGUAGCUAGAGGAAAAAAAGGCAAAAGUGAUUCCUGUAGUAGUAGCGAGCGAAAUGAGAGCAGCCUAAACCGUGAAAAUGGGGUUGUGGGAGAUCAAUACAAGCGUCGUGCUAAUAGGCGAAGCGGUUGAGUACUGCACCCUAGAUGGUGAGAGUCCAGUAGCCAAAAGCAUCACUGGCUUACACUGACCCGAGUAGCAUGGGGCACAUGGAAUCCCGUGUGAAUCAGCAAGGACCACCUUGUAAGGCUAAAUACUCUUGGGUGACCGAUAGCAAAGUAGUACUGUGAGGGAAAUGUGAAAAUAUCCCCCAUCAGGGAGUGAAAUAGAAUAUGAAACGGUGAGCC